rnacentral:lncRNA from 1 species
GGGAAAGGGGUAGGUUUAGUCAUUACCAUUGGAAAGUUGCACUUCUCUACUUCUCUAUAUAAAGGCAAUAAUCAGAAUCAGAUACAUUUUUUACAGCGGAUGACUGUGAGAGCAUUUCGGUGUAUUGCUAUCGCCUAGAUUUCCUUUACGUAACAUUUGUUUUGGCUUUUUAACCGAUCUAUAUAAACAUGAUGAAUACGA